AGUAUAUAGGUAUGUUAUUGUUUUUUAUUAUUAAAUAAGAUAUAUUUAGUAUAUUUUUUGGAGAAGGUAAUGGUAUUUUAUUUUAGUAUUUUUGUUUGGAGAAUUUUAUGGAUAGAGGAGUUUGGUGGGUUAUAGUUUAUGGGGUUAUAAAGAGUUAGAUAUGAUUUAGUGUUUGAGUAUAUGAGGUAAAAAUUUUAGUAGAGAUGGUUCGUAUUUAGUUGUUGAUUUUUAAUUAUGAUGAGGUUUUUAGUAAGAUAGGGUAGUUUAUUAU
rnacentral:misc_RNA from 1 species